rnacentral:rRNA from 1 species
AUCCCAAGCGAGAAUGCUGACACGAGUAACGAAAAAGAGGAUGCCGAAUAGGACCUCUCGCCUUAAGCUUAUGGCAAAUUGAAUCGGUCUCUAAAUUUAACCUAAAGGAUAUAAUGAUGAGGAAAUUAUAUGUGACAACAUAAAAUUGAGUAAAAUGUUCUGGAAAAGCAUAUAAUUAGCAAGGAGGGAGAAAUUUUUCUAGAGAAUAAACUAAAAAAGAAGAUACUAGGAUUUUCUUUCUAUAGGGAAUAAACUAGUUUCCUUGCGAAGAUAUACCGUACCUAAAAACUACCACAAGUAAGCUAGUAGAGAAUACGAAGGCGUUUGAGCUAACAAUCAUUAAGGAACUCGGCAAAAUGACACCGUAACUGAGGGAAAAGGUGUGCCAUUCCUGCUGAUUAAUAUCAGUUUAGGAAGAGGAGACAUAAAAUGGUGUUGCACGACUGUUUAAUUAAAACACAGCACUCUGCGUAAGAUGUAAAUCAAAGUAUAGAGUGCGCUAUCUGCCCAAUGAUGGCUGGUUAACGGAUUUACUUAAAUGACUAAUAUAGUUUAGGUUUUGAAGGAACCCCCAUUGAAUGGCGGCCUUAUCUAUAAGGGUCCUAAGGUAGCGAAAUACCUUGGCAUUUAAAUGAUGUCGCGCAUGAAUGAUCUCACGAUGCAACAGCUGUCUCAAUGAUUGGCUCAGUGAAACUGGAAUGGCAGUGAAGAUACUGCCUAUCUCUAGAUAGACGAGAAGACCCCAUGCAGCUUUACUGUUACUAGUUAUAGGGUAUAAUGUAACAGGUUUUAGAGAAUAAGGUAGUUGCUACGACAAAAUUGAAACACCUUUACUCUGGUUGUUAUAUCAGUAGAAUAGGUUACAGAUUUGUAACUGACGUCUGAAUGUAAUCCACAAAAGGAGAAGGAUCGCUAGAUCCCUCUCAGGAGACAAUGGCUAGCAGAUGGUUUAUGCGGGGCACAGAUCCCAUAAAGAGUACCUGGGA